GUGCCAGCCGCCGCGGUAAUACAGAGGUGUCAAACGUUGUCCGGAAUUACUGGGCGUAAAGGGCGCGUAGGCGGCCAUAUAAGUCAGAUGUGAAAGCUCUGGGCUCAACCCAGGAAUUGCAUCUGAUACUGUAAGGCUUGAGUUCGGUAGAGGAGGGCGGAAUUCCAGGUGUAGCGGUGAAAUGCGUAGAUAUCUGGAGGAACACCCGUGGCGAAGGCGGCUCUCUGGUCCGAAACUGACGCUGAGGUGCGAAAGCUAGGGUAGCAAACAGGAUUAGAUACCCCGGUAGUCC
rnacentral:rRNA from 1 species